UAGAGUUUGAUCAUGGCUCAGGACGAACGCUGGCGGCGUGCCUAAUACAUGCAAGUCGAACGAACUCUGGUAUUGAUUGGUGCUUGCAUCAUGAUUUACAUUUGAGUGAGUGGCGAACUGGUGAGUAACACGUGGGAAACCUGCCCAGAAGCGGGGGAUAACACCUGGAAACAGAUGCUAAUACCGCAUAACAACUUGGACCGCAUGGUCCGAGUUUGAAAGAUGGCUUCGGCUAUCACUUUUGGAUGGUCCCGCGGCGUAUUAGCUAGAUGGUGGGGUAACGGCUCACCAUGGCAAUGAUACGUAGCCGACCUGAGAGGGUAAUCGGCCACAUUGGGACUGAGACACGGCCCAAACUCCUACGGGAGGCAGCAGUAGGGAAUCUUCCACAAUGGACGAAAGUCUGAUGGAGCAACGCCGCGUGAGUGAAGAAGGGUUUCGGCUCGUAAAACUCUGUUGUUAAAGAAGAACAUAUCUGAGAGUAACUGUUCAGGUAUUGACGGUAUUUAACCAGAAAGCCACGGCUAACUACGUGCCAGCAGCCGCGGUAAUACGUAGGUGGCAAGCGUUGUCCGGAUUUAUUGGGCGUAAAGCGAGCGCAGGCGGUUUUUUAAGUCUGAUGUGAAAGCCUUCGGCUCAACCGAAGAAGUGCAUCGGAAACUGGGAAACUUGAGUGCAGAAGAGGACAGUGGAACUCCAUGUGUAGCGGUGAAAUGCGUAGAUAUAUGGAAGAACACCAGUGGCGAAGGCGGCUGUCUGGUCUGUAACUGACGCUGAGGCUCGAAAGUAUGGGUAGCAAACAGGAUUAGAUACCCUGGUAGUCCAUACCGUAAACGAUGAAUGCUAAGUGUUGGAGGGUUUCCGCCCUUCAGUGCUGCAGCUAACGCAUUAAGCAUUCCGCCUGGGGAGUACGGCCGCAAGGCUGAAACUCAAAGGAAUUGACGGGGGCCCGCACAAGCGGUGGAGCAUGUGGUUUAAUUCGAAGCUACGCGAAGAACCUUACCAGGUCUUGACAUACUAUGCAAAUCUAAGAGAUUAGACGUUCCCUUCGGGGACAUGGAUACAGGUGGUGCAUGGUUGUCGUCAGCUCGUGUCGUGAGAUGUUGGGUUAAGUCCCGCAACGAGCGCAACCCUUAUUAUCAGUUGCCAGCAUUAAGUUGGGCACUCUGGUGAGACUGCCGGUGACAAACCGGAGGAAGGUGGGGAUGACGUCAAAUCAUCAUGCCCCUUAUGACCUGGGCUACACACGUGCUACAAUGGAUGGUACAACGAGUUGCGAACUCGCGAGAGUAAGCUAAUCUCUUAAAGCCAUUCUCAGUUCGGAUUGUAGGCUGCAACUCGCCUACAUGAAGUCGGAAUCGCUAGUAAUCGCGGAUCAGCAUGCCGCGGUGAAUACGUUCCCGGGCCUUGUACACACCGCCCGUCACACCAUGAGAGUUUGUAACACCCAAAGUCGGUGGGGUAACCUUUUAGGAACCAGCCGCCUAAGGUGGGACAGAUGAUUAGGGUGAAGUCGUAACAAGGUAGCCGUAGGAGAACCUGCGGUUGGAUCACCUCCUUAG
rnacentral:rRNA from 2 species